UUGGAGGGCAAGUCUGGUGCCAGCAGCCGCGGUAAUUCCAGCUCCAAUAGCGUAUAUUAAAGUUGUUGCAGUUAAAAAGCUCGUAGUUGAAUUUCGGGGUUCUACCGUUGGUCGGGCUUUGUCUGUACUGGUGUGUAGAAUUUCUACCUUCUGGGGAACCAUCAUGCUAUUAAUUUAGCGUGGUGGGAAACCAGGACCUUUACCUUGAAAGAAUUAGUGUGUUCAAAGCAGGCUUAUGUCUGAAUACAUUAGCGUGGAAUAAUAGAAUAGGACGGUGGUCCUGUUUUGUUGGUUUCUGAAUCACCGUAAUGAUUAAUAGGGAUAGUUGGGGGCAUUAGUAUUCAAUUGUCAGAGGUGAAAUUCUUGGAUUUAUUGAAGACUAACUUCUGCGAAAGCAUUUGCCAAGGAUGUUUUCAUUAAUCAAGAACGAAAGUUAGGGGAUCGAAGGCGAUCAGAUACCGUCGUAGUCUUAACCAUAAACUAUGCCGACUAGGGAUCGGACGAUGUUAAUUUUUCUUGACUCGUUCGGCGCCUUACGGGAAAC
rnacentral:rRNA from 1 species